rnacentral:rRNA from 1 species
UACGGAGGGAGCUAGCGUUGUUCGGAAUUACUGGGCGUAAAGCGCACGUAGGCGGCUUUGUAAGUUAGAGGUGAAAGCCUGGGGCUCAACCCCAGAAUUGCCUUUAAGACUGCAUCGCUUGAAUCCAGGAGAGGUGAGUGGAAUUCCGAGUGUAGAGGUGAAAUUCGUAGAUAUUCGGAAGAACACCAGUGGCGAAGGCGGCUCACUGGACUGGUAUUGACGCUGAGGUGGCGAAAAGC